rnacentral:rRNA from 1 species
UCCAGACUCCUACGGGAGGCAGCAGUGGGGGAUAUUGCACAAUGGGGGGAACCCUGAUGCAGCGACGCCGCGUGGGUGAAGAAGCGCCUCGGCGCGUAAAGCCCUGUCAGCAGGGAAGAAAAUGACGGUACCUGAAGAAGAAGCCCCGGCUAACUACGUGCCAGCAGCCGCGGUAAUACGUAGGGGGCAAGCGUUAUCCGGAUUUACUGGGUGUAAAGGGGGCGCAGACGGCGAUGCAAGCCAGGAGUGAAAGCCCGGGGCCCAACCCCGGGACUGCUCUGGAAACUGCGGCGCUGGAGUACGGGAGGGGCAGGCGGAAUUCCUGGUGUAGCGGUGAAAUGCGUAGAUAUACGGAGGAACACCAGUGGCGAAGGCGGAUUGCUGGACAGUAACUGACGCUGAGGCGCGAAAGCGUGGGGAGCAAACAGGAUUAGAUACCCGCGUAA